UGGGGAAUAUUGCGCAAUGGGGGGAACCCUGACGCAGCAACGCCGCGUGAAGGAAGAAGGUCUUCGGAUUGUAAACUUCUUUGGCAGGGGACGAAAGAAGACGGUACCCUGAGAACAAGCCACGGCUAACUACGUGCCAGCAGCCGCGGUAAUACGUAGGUGGCGAGCGUUGUCCGGAAUUACUGGGUGUAAAGGGCGUGUAGGCGGGGGCAUAAGUCAGGUGUGAAAAUCCAAGGCUUAACCUUGGGGCUGCAUCUGAAACUAUGUUUCUUGAGUGCUGGAGAGGAAAGCGGAAUUCCCAGUGUAGCGGUGAAAUGCGUAGAGAUUGGGAGGAACACCAGUGGCGAAGGCGGCUUUCUGGACAGUAACUGACGCUGAGGCGCGAAAGCGUGGGGAGCAAACAGG
rnacentral:rRNA from 1 species